GAUGAAGAACGUAGCGAAAUGCGAUACUUGGUGUGAAUUGCAGAAUCCCGUGAACCAUCGAGUCUUUGAACGCAAGUUGCGCCCGAAGCCUCGGCUAAGGGCACGUCUGCCUGGGCGUCACGCAUCGCGUCUCCCCCAAACCGCCAAGGCGGAGGGGAAGGAAGAUGGCUUCCCGUGCCUCACCCGGGCGCGGUUGGCCUAAAUUUGGAGCCCGCGGCACUUAGCUCUCGCGGCGAUAGGUGGUGAACAAGGCCUUGGCCGUGCAAACAACCCGCUGCGAAGCUCUAUGUCACGUGCGCUCGUCGGACCCUUUGAAGUUGCCUUUGGUGACUUAAAACCUUUGCGACCCCAGGUCAGGCGGGGCUACCCGCUGAACUUAAGCAUAUCAAUAAGCGGAGGA
rnacentral:misc_RNA from 1 species